rnacentral:misc_RNA from 1 species
UGCACCAACAACGUUGGCACCUGCCCGUGAUUUCUGGCUCUUACGUUAUACAACUGUUAUGGAUGAUGGCAGUCUCGUGGUGUGUGAAAGGUCACUUGGAAAUACUCAAAAUGGUCCAAGUAUGCCACCUGUUCAGAAUUUUGUGAGAGCAGAAAUCCUACCUAGUGGAUAUCUGAUUAGACCUUGUGAGGGGGGUGGUUCAAUUAUCCACAUUGUUGAUCAUAUGAAUUUAGAGGCAUGGAGUGUGCCUGAAGUCUUACGCCCACUUUAUGAGUCAUCAGCAGUGCUAGCUCAGAAGACGACAGUGGCUGCACUACGCUACCUCCGGCAGAUUGCACAGGAGGUUUCACAGACUAAUGUUACUAACUGGGGAAGACGACCCGCAGCUCUACGUGCAUUAAGCCAGAGGCUGAGCAGAGGCUUCAAUGAGGCUCUUAAUGGUAUAGCUGAUGAGGGCUGGUCAAUGCUGGAUAGUGAUGGAAUGGAUGAUGUUACCAUCCUUGUGAACUCUUCUCCUGACAAGUUGAUGGGCUUAAACCUUCCUUUUGCGAAUGGAUUUUCACCUAUGAGCAACGCGGUUAUGUGUGCAAAAGCAUCAAUGCUUCUACAGAAUGUGCCUCCGGCUAUUCUUCUCAGGUUCCUACGUGAACAUCGAUCUGAAUGGGCAGACAACAAUAUAGAUGCUUAUGCUGCUGCAGCCAUUAAAGUUGGUCCCUGCAGCUUACCUGGGGCUCGAGUUGGUAACUUCGGGGGUCAAGUGAUACUUCCACUCGCUCACACUGUUGAGCAUGAAGAGUUGCUGGAGGUCAUUAAGUUGGAAGGUCAUUCUCCUGAGGACGCGAUAAUGCCACGAGAUAUGUUUCUAUUGCAACUAUGCAGUGGAAUGGAUGAAAAUGCUGUUGGAACUUGUGCCGAACUCGUGUUUGCUCCUAUUGAUGCCUCUUUUGCUGAUGAUGCACCAUUGCUUCCGUCUGGGUUUCGCAUUAUUUCACUCGAGUCUGGAAAGGAAGCGUCCAGUCCAAAUCGUACCCUUGAUCUUACUUCUGCUCUUGAGACUGGCCCAGCGGAAAACAAAGCAGCCAAUGAUCUUCACACUAGUGGUGGCUCAUCAAGAUCUGUCAUGACAAUUGCUUUUCAAUUUGCUUUUGAAAGCCACAUGCAAGAGAGUGUUGCUUCAAUGGCUCGACAGUAUGUCCGAAGCAUUAUUUCAUCUGUUCAAAGAGUUGCAUUAGCACUUUCACCAUCUCAUUUGGGUUCUCAUGGAGGUCUUCGUUUGCCAUUGGGGACUCCUGAAGCACAUACAUUAGCUCGUUGGAUCUGCCAAAGUUACAGGUGCUUUUUGGGCGUGGAGCUUCUCAAAUUGAAUACUGAUCAAGGAAGUGAAUCAAUCCUCAAAAGCCUAUGGCAUCACUCAGAUGCUAUUAUCUGCUGCUCCGCUAAGGCUUUGCCAGUUUUCACAUUUGCAAAUCAGGCUGGUCUUGACAUGCUCGAGACAACCUUGGUUGCACUUCAAGAUAUUACCUUGGAGAAAAUAUUUGAUGAUCAUGGAAAGAAGAACCUCUGCACUGAGUUCCCCCAGAUAAUGCAACAGGGUUUUGCAUGUCUACAAGGGGGAAUUUGCUUGUCAAGCAUGAGCAGACCUAUAUCUUAUGAGAGAGCAGUAGCAUGGAAAGUUAUGAAUGAAGAAGAUACUGCUCAUUGUAUUGGUUUUAUGUUUGUGAAUUGGUCGUUUGUUUAAAUUUGUUAUCAGUAAACUUAAGCUACAUACAUAUCUACAAACCAUUUUGAACUAGUUUGGCUUUUUGUGCU